rnacentral:rRNA from 1 species
AGGUUAAGCUACAAAGAGCACACGGAGGAUGCCUAGGCGCCAGGAGCCGACGAAGGACGUGGCGAACAACGAUAAGGCCUCGGGGAGCUGUAAGCAAGCUUUGAUCCGGGGAUGUCCGAAUGGGGAAACCCGGCUGUCUUCAUCGACAGUCACUUUCUGCUGAAUACAUAGGCAGAAUAGAGGCAGACCAGGGGAACUGAAACAUCUAAGUACCCUGAGGAAGAGAAAACAAUAGUGAUUCCGUCAGUAGCGGCGAGCGAACGCGGAUUAGCCCAAACCAAGGAGCUUGCUCCUUGGGGUUGUGGGACGUCUCACAUGGAGUUACAAAGGAACCGGUUAGAUGAAGAGGUCUGGAAAGGCCCGCCAGAGAAGGUAAAAGCCCUGUAGUUCAAAACUUGUUCUCUCCGAGACGGAUCCCGAGUAGUGCGGGGCACGUGAAACCCCGUAUGAAUCCGGCAGGACCAUCUGCCAAGGCUAAAUACUCCCUGGCGACCGAUAGUGAAGCAGUACCGUGAGGGAAAGGUGAAAAGCACCCCGGAAGGGGAGUGAAAUAGAUCCUGAAACCGUGUGCUUACAAGAAGUCAGAGCCCGAUCUAUGGGUGAUGGCGUGCCUUUUGUAGAAUGAACCGGCGAGUUACGUUCCCGUGCAAGGUUAAGGUGAAGAGCUGAAGCCGCAGCGAAAGCGAGUCUGAAUAGGGCGAAUGAGUACGUGGACGUAGACCCGAAACCGGGUGAUCUACCCCUGUCCAGGGUGAAGGUGCGGUAACACGCACUGGAGGCCCGAACCCACGCAUGUUGAAAAAUGCGGGGAUGAGGUGGGGGUAGCGGAGAAAUUCCAAUCGAACCCGGAGAUAGCUGGUUCUCCCCGAAAUAGCUUUAGGGCUAGCCUCGGAAA